UCAAGGAAGAAUUUUGACGGUACUUGAGGAAUAAGCAUCGGCUAACUCUGUGCCAGCAGCCGCGGUAAUACAGAGGAUGCAAGCGUUAUCCGGAAUCACUGGGCAUAAAGCGUCUGUAGGUUGCGAAUUAAGUCUGUUGUUAAAGAUCAGGGCCUAACCCUGAGAAAGCAAUGGAAACUAAUACGCUUGAGUGUGGUAGAGGUAGAGGGAAUUCUUAGUGUAGCGGUGAAAUGCGUAGAUAUUAG
rnacentral:rRNA from 1 species